GACGAACGCUGGCGGCGUGCUUAACACAUGCAAGUCGAACGGAAAGGCCCUGCUUGCCGGGUUUUCGUGUGGCGAACGCGUGAGUAACACGUGAGAGAUCUGCCUUGCACUUCGGGAUAAGCCUGGUAAACUGGGUCUAAUACCGGGUAGGCGUCAUUAAUAGUGUGAGAGAUGGUAAUAAGUCUCGUUGUAGGAUGAGCUGGUGCCCUAUCAGGUUGUUGGUGGGGUAAUGUUUUACCAAGUCGGCGAGUGGUAGCCGGCCUGAGAGGGUGGGCGGCAACGUUGGGACGGAGAUACGGCCCAGACUCCUACGGGAGGCAGCAGUGGGGAAGAGUGCACAAUGGGCGGAAGCCUGAUGCAGCGACGCCGCGUGGGGGAUGACGGCCUUCGGGUUGUAAACUACUUUCGCGAGGGACGAAGCUUUUGUGACGGUACCUAGAGAAGAAGCACCGGCUAACUACGUG
rnacentral:rRNA from 1 species